UACGGAGGGGGCAAGCGUUAUUCGGAAUCAUUGGGCGUAAAGGGCGCGUAGGCGGCUUGGCAAGUCAAAGGUGAAAUCCCUCGGCCUAACCGAGGAACUGCCUUUGAAACUGCUUGGCUUGAGGCCGGGAGAGGGUAGCGGAAUUCCCAGUGUAGCGGUGAAAUGCGUAGAUAUUGGGAGGAACACCAGUGGCGAAGGCGGCUACCUGGACCGGUUCUGACGCUGAGGUGCGAAAGCGUGGGGAGCAAACAGG
rnacentral:rRNA from 1 species